CCAUAGAAGGUGAUAGCCCUGUAUGUGAAAACUCGAUUGUGGAACUAGGCGUACGACAAGUAGGGCGGGGCACGAGAAACCCUGUCUGAACAUGGGGGGACCAUCCUCCAAGGCUAAAUACUCAUGACUGACCGAUAGUGAACUAGUACCGUGAGGGAAAGGCGAAAAGAACCCCGGGAGGGGAGUGAAAUAGAUCCUGAAACCGUGUGCAUACAAACAGUCGGAGCGGACUUGUUCCGUGACGGCGUACCUUUUGUAUAAUGGGUCAGCGACUUACAUUCAGUGGCAAGCUUAACCGAGUAGG
rnacentral:rRNA from 1 species